GAGGGCAGCCAUACCACGUUGGAAACACCGGUUCUCGUCUGAUCACCGAAGUUGAGCAACGUCGGGCCCGGUUAUUAAUUGCAUGGGUGACCGUUUGGGAACACCGGGUGUUGCAGCCG
rnacentral:rRNA from 1 species